rnacentral:tRNA from 1 species
CGGGACGUGGCGCAGCCUGGUAGCGCAUCUGCUUUGGGAGCAGAGGGUCGGAGGUUCAAAUCCUCUCGUCCCGACCA